GCGCACGGAGGAUGCCUAGGCGCCAGGAGCCUAAGAAGGACGCGGCGAACAGCGAAAUUGCCUCGGGGAGCCGUAAGCAGGCUUUGAUCCGGGGAUGUCCGAAUGGGGAAACCCGGCUGGGGUAAUGCCCAGUCACCGUUGAGUGAAUACAUAGCUCAUCAGGAGGCACACCCAGGGAACUGAAACAUCUAAGUACCUGGAGGAGAAGAAAACAAGAGUGAUUCCGUAAGUAGCGGCGAGCGAACGCGGAUUAGCCCAAACCUAGGAGCUUGCUUCUAGGGGUUGUGGGACGUCUCACAUGGAGUUACAAAUCAUUUACAUAGAAGAACACAGCUGGGAAGCUGGGCCAAAGAAGGUGAUAGCCCUGUAUUUGAAAUGUAAAUGACUCCUGGUAGUAUCCUGAGUAGGGCGGGGCACGUGGAACCCUGUCUGAAUCUAGCCGGACCAUCGGCUAAGGCUAAAUAUUACUCACUCACCGAUAGUGCACUAGUACCGUGAGGGAAAGUUGAAAAGAACCGGGGAACCGGAGUGAAACAGAUCCUGAAACCGUAUUGCCUACAAAAAGUCAGAGCCCGUUAAUGGGUGAUGGCGUGCCUUUUGCAGAAUGAGCCGGCGAGUUACGAUAGCAUGCGAGGUUAAAGAAAUGGAGCCGUAGGGAAACCGAGUCUUAAUAGGGCGAAUUAGUAUGUUGUUGUAGACCCGAAACCAGGUGAUCUAUCCAUGAGCAGGGUGAAGUCAAGGUAAUACUUGAUGGAGGCCCGAACCAGUAGACGUUGUAAAGUCUUUGGAUGACUUGUGGAUAGCGGUGAAAUUCCAAACGAACCUGGAUAUAGCUGGUUCUCCCCGAAAUAGCUUUAGGGCUAGCGUCUCGAUUGAGCGCAACGAGGGUAGAGCACUAAUUAUACGAUGGCCCCAUCUAGGGGUACUGAUUAUAGAUAAACUCCGAAUAUCGUUGUUGCAUGCGAGGCAGUCAGUGUAUGGGUGAUAACGUCCAUACGCGCGAGGGAAACAACCCAGACCAUCAGCUAAGGUCCCAAAAUUUAUGUUAAGUGGGAAAGGAUGUGAAGUUCCAAAAACAGCUAGUAUGUUGGCUUAGAAGCAGCCAUCAUUUAAAGAGUGCGUAACAGCUCACUAGUCGAGGGAUUUCGCGCCGAAAAUUUAACGGGGCUAAAACAUAAUACCGAAGCUAUGGAUUUAGAACAUAUUUUUAUAUGUUCCAAGUGGUAGGGGAGCGUUCCAUACUGGGAUGAAGCUAGAUCGUGAGGACUAGUGGACUGUAUGGAAGUGAGAAUGCCGGCGUGAGUAUCGAUUGAAGGUGAGAAUCCUUCACGCCGAUUGAGCAAGGUUUCCUGGGGAAGGUUCGUCCUCCUAGGGUUAGUCGGGACCUAAGGCGAGGCCGAAAGGCGUAGUCGAUGGACAACUGGUUGAUAUUCCAGUACCGACGUAUAGAGGGAUGGAAUGACGGAGAAGGCUAAGAAAAGCAUGCGAUCGAAAGUGCAUGUCGAAGCAGAUGAGGUGUCAGUGUAGGAAAAUCCGCACUGUUUAACAUUGAGCUGUGAUAGGGAGCGAACCCUUAGGGUAGUAGCAAAGUUUCUGAUGUCACGCUUCCAAGAAAAGUUUCUACUGUUAAUCUAUACGUUGCCCGUACCCAUAACCAACACUGGUGCUCAAGGAGAAUAUCCUAAGGCGAGCGAGAUAAUUGAGGCUAAGGAACUCGGCAAAAUAACCCCGUACGUUCGCAAUAAGGGGUGCUAGUAUAUGCUUGCAUAUAUCUAGCCGCAGAAAAGAGGUCCAGCCAACUGUUUAUCAAAAACACAGCUCUCUGCUAAAGUGUAAACUGAAGUAUAGGGGGUGACGCCUGCCCGGUGCUCGAAGGUUAAGGGAAUCUGUUAGCGCAAGCGAAGCAGUGCACUGAAGCCCGAGUGAACGGCGGCUGUAACUAUAACGGUCCUAAGGUAGCGAAAUUCAUUGUCAGGUAAGUUCUGACCCGCACGAAUGGUGUAAUGAUCUGGACGCUGUCUCAACGAGAGAUCCGGUGAAAUUUUAGUACCUGUGAAGAUGCAGGUUACCCGCGACGUGACGGAAAGACCCCAUGGAGCUUUACUGUAGCUUGAUAUUGAACUUUGGUACGGUCUGUACAGGAUAGGUGGGAGCCUUAGAAGCAGGAGCGCAAGCUUCGGUGGAGGCGCCGUUGGGAUACCACCCUGAUCGUAUCGGAGUUCUAACCUGUCACCCUGAAUCGGGUGAAGGGACCGUGUCAGGCGGACAGUUUGACUGGGGCGGUCGCCUCCUAAAAGGUAACGGAGGCGUGCAAAGUUACACUCAACAUGGUCGGAAAUCAUUCGAAGAGUGCAAAGGCAUAAGGGAGCUUGACUGUGAGACUUACAAGUCGAACAGGGACGAAAGUCGGUUUUAGUGAUCCGCCGGUUCUGUAUGGAAAGGCCGGCGCUCAACGGAUAAAAGUUACUCCGGGGAUAACAGGCUUAUCUCCCCCAAGAGUUCACAUCGACGGGGAGGUUUGGCACCUCGAUGUCGGCUCAUCGCAUCCUGGGGCUGUAGUCGGUCCCAAGGGUUGGGCUGU
rnacentral:rRNA from 1 species